ensembl:lncRNA
UCAGAAUUUAGGAGAUUGUCUUUCACUAAUAAACAUCGAUUGGUCACAUCAGGAGUGUCCAGCUUGUAGAUGUACUCAUACUCAUAUUUUCUCUUUUUAGUUCUGAAAAUAACGUAUUUGUAAGGUAUGGAACUAUUUGCCGCUUUGGAUUUGGUUGUCACCAAUUCACCCUCAACUAGAAACCCAUGUUCUCCAAUUUUCCUGUAUAAAAUCAGAACAAUGAUGAACAGUGAAAUACAAACAUGAAAAUAUUUUCUUGAGUCAAUAAUACCUUGUCACAUUCAGCUCAACUAUGUUUUCUCCCCAUGACCCAAUAUGUCCUCCUGCUUGGAUAAAGAUUUCAUCUCUGUUUGGGUCAAAUUUAAAGUCCUUAGAGAGAACUGCAUGAAAGUAUAUAACCAGUCUGUCUUUAGCAUCAACUGUUUUGAUCUUUUUUGGCCUAAAAAAAUAAGUUCAUUAAGUAUUAUGCAUAUAGACUAAGAAAUAAAUGCAUGCACAAACAGAGGUGUGUAUCACUUUUCUGGUCUUGGGGCAGUGGGCCCUGUGUGGUCAACAUGUCUCUCUUCACUUUCUUUGCUUGGGUCGAGUAGUUUUGAUGGUUGUUCUUCUGUUGAGGCCUGACUGGUCCCAGACUGCUGUACCUCCAUUUUUUCUAUAGUGAUCGUUGGUAGGUCCACACUCGAGCCUGAACCUUUAUUCUAUAUUGAAAAAAAAAUCUUUAAUUAUGUUUGUUUUGCUGCUAUACAGUAUAUAUUAAUCAAAACAAUACCUCUGGGUAUGGACCGAAAACCAUCGUUUGUUGACUUUUCCCAGUUUGGGUCUGACUUGGCACUUGCUCUUUUUCUUUCUUAUUCUCCUGUUUCUUGGUCUCCUUUGUCUGUUUUUCAUUUGGUUCUGCAUUUGCAUUGUGGUCCAGUUUCUGUUGGUUGAAGUCAGAGGCAUUCUUGUUUUUGGGAUUUUUCUUGUUUGUCCUGUUGUCCUGGUUAUUAGACUUGGUCCCUUGAUCAGGAUUGGGCUGUGUUACUUCUGGAGCUGUAUUGUGGGUCGGACUGGGUGGAGUGUUGCCCUGUGCUUUUUUAGACUUCUCAUCAACUCUAGACCCUUUACUCUGGCCCUGUGUCUGGUCACCCUGUUUAGUCUGUUUUUCUGUAUUUCCUUUUACAGUUGCAGAUGUUUUCUCAUUAACAGUUUGGGUGUCUUCAGAUGCAACAUUGGUACCAUCAUCUGAUGCACUUUGAUUCAUGUUGGUUUUAUCUUUUACUAUUGGUUGACUUGGUGGGAGCUGCUUUUCCUCCUUUGGCUUAAUCUCCUGAGUCAAUUUUGCAUUAGCUCCAUUUACAUUUUGAUCCAGUUGUGGUUGAUUGGCAGUGGAUGAAUCCUUCUUGUUUUUGGAUUUUUUCUUGUUUGUCUUGUUAUCGCUCUGAUCAUUAGCCUUGGUGCUUUUAUCAGAAUUAGGAUGUGGUAAUGGUGCAGCUUUGCCAUCAGUUAGUGGUUGGGUUUGAGUGUUCUCUUGCGUCUGUUCACCCUGGGCAUUUUCUUUUACCAUAGGCACCUUUUCAUACACAACCUGCAUGUUGUCAGAUGUACUGGCACUAUUACCAUCUGGUCCGGUUUUAUCUUCUUCCAUAGGUUCACUUGGUGGGAGUGGACUUGCUGGACUUUUCAUUAACACGUCAGUACUGUCACUAGUGGCUAGCUUUCCUGAAGUGGACUGGUCUUCGAAAGAUGAAAACUCUUGGUUUGAUACUGAGCUUUCACUAUCAGACCCAUCUCCUGCUUGAUGUCUUGUGUCUUUGUUGUCAUCAGUUGGAACAAGCGACAAAUCGGAUUGUUCGGGGUCUGUUGCCAUAUCGUCAUCUUUCUUCUUCUUGCUUUUCUUCCUUUUUUUUCUCU